UGCUCAGAACGAACGCUGGCGGCAGGCCUAACACAUGCAAGUCGAGCGCACCUUCGGGUGAGCGGCGGACGGGUUAGUAACGCGUGGGAACGUGCCCUUCUCUACGGAAUAGCCUCUGGAAACGGAGAGUAAUACCGUAUACGCCCUUUGGGGGAAAGAUUUAUCGGAGAAGGAUCGGCCCGCGUUAGAUUAGGUAGUUGGUGGGGUAACGGCCUACCAAGCCUACGAUCUAUAGCUGGUUUUAGAGGAUGAUCAGCAACACUGGGACUGAGACACGGCCCAGACUCCUACGGGAGGCAGCAGUGGGGAAUCUUAGACAAUGGGGGCAACCCUGAUCUAGCCAUGCCGCGUGAGUGAUGAAGGCCUUAGGGUCGUAAAGCUCUUUCGCCUGUGAUGAUAAUGACAGUAGCAGGUAAAGAAACCCCGGCUAACUCCGUG
rnacentral:rRNA from 1 species